UACGUAGGGCGCAAGCGUUGUCCGGAAUCACUGGGCGUAAAGGGCGCGUAGGUGGCCUGAUAAGUAGGAGGUGAAAUCCUGGGGCUUAACCUCAGGGCUGCCUUCUAGACUGUCCGGCUCGAGCACAGUAGAGGCAGGUGGAAUUCCCGGUGUAGCGGUGGAAUGCGUAGAGAUCGGGAAGAACAUCGGUGGCGAAGGCGGCCUGCUGGGCUGUUGCUGACACUGAGGCGCGACAGCGUGGGGAGCAAACAGG
rnacentral:rRNA from 1 species